rnacentral:rRNA from 1 species
AUGCUUAACACAUGCAAGUCGAACGGUAACAGAUAAGAUGAUCUCUUCGGAGUGAAUCUUUGCUGACGAGUGGCGGACGGGUGAGUAAUGCUUGGGAAUCUGCCCAAUAGUGGGGGAAAACUCGGGGAAACCCGGGCUAAUACCGCAUAAUCUCUACGGAGGAAAGAGGGCCUCUACAUGUAAGCUCUCGCUAAUGGAUGAGCCCAAGUCAGAUUAGCUAGUUGGUAAGGUAAUGGCUUACCAAGGCUACGAUCUGUAGCUGGUCUGAGAGGAUGAUCAGCCACACUGGGACUGAGACACGGCCCAGAUUCCUACGGGAGGCAGCAGUGGGGAAUAUUGCACAAUGGGCGCAAGCCUGAUGCAGCAAUGCCGCGUGUGUGAAGAAGGCUCUAGGGUUGUAAAGCACUUUCAAUAGAGAAGAAAAGCUUGAAAUUAAUACUUUCAAGCCUUGACGUAAUCUAUACAAGAAGCACCGGCUAAUUCCGUGCCAGCAGCCGCGGUAAUACGGGAGGUGCGAGCGUUAAUCGGAAUUACUGGGCGUAAAGCGAGCGUAGGCUGUUAAUUAAGUCGAAUGUGAAAUCCCCGGGCUCAACCUGGGAACUGCAUUCGAAACUAUUUAACUAGAGUAUGGGAGAGGAAAGUAGAAUUUCCGGUGUAGCGGUGAAAUGCGUAGAUAUCGGAAGGAACACCAGUGG